UACGUAGGGCGCAAGCGUUAUCCGGAAUUAUUGGGCGUAAAGAGCUCGUAGGCGGUUUGUCGCGUCUGCCGUGAAAGUCCGGGGCUCAACUCCGGAUCUGCGGUGGGUACGGGCAGACUAGAGUGAUGUAGGGGAGACUGGAAUUCCUGGUGUAGCGGUGAAAUGCGCAGAUAUCUGGAGGAACACCGGUGGCGAAGGCGGCAUCCUGGACCAACACUGACGCUGAGGAGCGAAAGCCAGGGGAGCAAGCGGG
rnacentral:rRNA from 1 species